CCUCUGGGUUUUAUUUAGGUAUAACAACGCAUCAGCAGUAUGCCGCCUAAGGCUUGUGAAAGGAGAUAAAGACUUCGUAGCCUUUUCUAAGGUAUCUUGUUCGGUACUCCAGUCAGAUAAGCGCCAUGCACAUUCUAGAUAAAGUUCAGCACAUCCUUCUUGUUUUGAAAAAUCAAAAAGUACAUCCCAUUGGUUUAGCUUUUGAGCACAUAAAAUCCAAUGAUCCAGCCAAAAUCCAUGUUCAGUAGGUGAAUACGGUAAACUUCCUGUACAAACUUUUAAUUGCGCAUGCUCAUAAACCAAUUGAGCUUUUUCCCACUCAUGGCAUUGUUCAUGAGAAGUUGCAACUUCGGUUUCCAAAAAAUUCGCACGUCUUCUCCAAAGCCCAUGGUACAAAUCAUGUUCAUCCAAGCUAUAAUAGAUAUCGCUGAGAGCAUCAAGACAACUUUUAUGAUACACUGUUAAUUCAUCUUCAGAAAGACCUGGAUUGUUUUGCAAAGAAUUUUCUAGUAAUAAUAUACAAUAAUGGUGCAAUCCAUAUGUCUUACUCAAAUAUACAAGAAGAUGAGGUGGUAAUGGUAUAGGCAUGUCCGAGGAUACAAUCGACGUUAAAAUGGUCUCCAAGACAUUAGGUGUUUUCCCAAGAAGCCUGAUGUGAUAUUCACGAGAAAGAAAAGAAAUUAUUGAACCAAUACACAAAGGGAUUUCAUCCUUUGUAAAGCUGCAAACUGAAGCAUUAAAAAAAUCUCGCCAUAAGUACUCCGCAAUUUUUGAAUUUGAAAACUGUAAGCUCAAAACUGGAAGUACAAAAUCAGAGACUAGCAUACUGUUUUGAUUGAAAUCAAUUAUUCCAUACUUUAGUAAAUUGUUAUGUAACAUUUCGGUAUCUUGCGCUUGGGAAGUCAAAUCCUCAUCGAAUUCUCGACAGUAGAUAGAAAAACAAGAAAAUAACUUGGGCUUUUUAUAAAAUUGACAUCUUUGGUUUAAAUCAAAGCAACGGCUUAAAAAAAUGUUCAAUUGAACGAUCCAGUAAGUAUUAGAAAGUGAUUCCCAAUGUUGACUUCCCAAGAGAAAUUGAAAACGAGAAAAUAGAUCAGAUGGGAAACUAGAAUUUAAGCCUUUUAUAAACCUUUCCUUCAAUUUCUUAUUCGCAACUCGAGUACCUAGAAGAUACACUGCUUCUAAUCGAAACGUCAACUCACUAUUUUUGUAUGGCUCCAUUUCGUAAAUAUCAGCUAUAAA